GCUAAAAAUGGCCCAGGGGAGACUGCA
rnacentral:piRNA from 1 species